GAUGAACGCUAGCUACAGGCUUAACACAUGCAAGUCGAGGGGAAACGACAUCGAAAGCUUGCUUUUGAUGGGCGUCGACCGGCGCACGGGUGAGUAACGCGUAUCCAACCUGCCCAUCACUUGGGGAUAACCUUGCGAAAGUAAGACUAAUACCCAAUGAUAUCUCUAGAAGACAUCUGAAAGAGAUUAAAGAUUUAUCGGUGAUGGAUGGGGAUGCGUCUGAUUAGCUUGUUGGCGGGGUAACGGCCCACCAAGGCAACGAUCAGUAGGGGUUCUGAGAGGAAGGUCCCCCACAUUGGAACUGAGACACGGUCCAAACUCCUACGGGAGGCAGCAGUGAGGAAUAUUGGUCAAUGGGCGAGAGCCUGAACCAGCCAAGUAGCGUGCAGGAAGACGGCCCUAUGGGUUGUAAACUGCUUUUAUAAGGGAAUAAAGUGAGAGUCGUGACUCUUUUUGUAUGUACCUUAUGAAUAAGAACCGGCUAAUUCCGUG
rnacentral:rRNA from 1 species